AGGGAGUACAGUUUUGCAUUAUUUAGUUUGAUCAUCGUCUUAUUUAAAAAUUUUUUAUGAUUAGUAUUUUUUAUUGUUAUUAGAUGAUAAAACAUAAAUAGUAUUUUAUGUGUGACUAAUAUUUUUUAAUUUUUUAUAAUUUUUUUAAAUAAGAUAGACGGUUAAACUUGGAUAUGGAAACUCGCGACUACACUUAAA
rfam:Oryza glumipatula chromosome 9, whole genome shotgun sequence.